AUCUGAACUCUCAAUCCCACUGGGAAUCUUUUCGUUACUCAAGUUUAAACCGAUCACACGGCGAAGAGCGCCGUCGCACCUUGCUCCAGCCCAAUUGCAACAAUCUGCAGUAGAAGUCCAGCGCAAUAAUCUUGUGGAUGUAAAUGGAUCAAAUUUUAAGCUAUUGAGGAACUGGAGUACUAACAACAAUUGCUCAUCGCUCCGGCAUAAGCCAGAAACAAGAGAAGUUACAUGGAAUGGAAGAGCAGUAUGGAAGAAAACCAUAUUAAGAAUGGAUUUUCCUUCAUUUGCAGAAGAUUAGGAGACGCUCAUGUUACUGAAGUUUGGAAGAGGUGAUUGGUCUGAUAUUUAGGUGGCACUGCAGGUCAAGAACAAUUGAUGCGGUAGUCGGAUCUAAAAUUGCAGAAUUCCCCCUGUGUCAAAUUCAAAUGGUUGUCCUUAUUAGGUUAACAUCAAAAAUAAAAAUGGUCCAUUUACAGCAAGCACCUAUAAAUUGGUGGACAUCUACAACUGAUAUUAAAUUCGGAGCUCGACGGAAUAUAGUUUGAUAGAGUUCUUUUUUUUUUCAUUCCCAUUGUAAUCUAUAAUUUUUUAAAUAAUAUUAAAAAUAUGUGUGUAACUUUUCAGAUUAUUUUUAUCAAAUAUAUGGAGCAUAUGUUA